CCUACGGGGGGCAGCAGUGAGGAAUAUUGGUCAAUGGACGAGAGUCUGAACCAGCCAAGUAGCGUGAAGGAUGACUGCCCUAUGGGUUGUAAACUUCUUUUAUAUGGGAAUAAACUGUUCCACGUGUGGGAUUUUGUAUGUACCAUAUGAAUAAGGAUCGGCUAACUCCGUACCAGCAGCCGCGGUAAUACGGAGGAUCCGAGCGUUAUCCGGAUUUAUUGGGUUUAAAGGGAGCGUAGAUGGGUUGUUAAGUCAGUUGUGAAAGUUUGCGGCUCAACCGUAAAAUUGCAAUUGAUACUGGCAGGCUUGAGUACAGUUGAGGUAGGCGGAAUUCGUGGUGUAGCGGUGAAAUGCUUAGAGAUCACGAAGAACUCCGAUUGCGAAGGCAGCUUACUAAGCUGCCACUGACAUUGAUGCUCGAAAGUGUGGGUAUCAAACAGGAUUAGAUACCCUAGUAGUC
rnacentral:rRNA from 1 species